rnacentral:rRNA from 1 species
UACGGGGGGGGCAAGCGUUGUUCGGAAUUACUGGGCGUAAAGGGCUCGUAGGCGGCCAACUAAGUCAGACGUGAAAUCCCUCGGCUUAACCGGGGAACUGCGUCUGAUACUGGAUGGCUUUGAGAUUGGGGAGAGGGAUGCGGAAUUCCAGGUGUAGCGGUGAAAUGCGUAGAUAUCGGAAGGAACGCCGGUGGCGAAAGCGACGUGGCUGGACCCCUUCUGACGGCUGAGGCGCGAAAGCCAGGGGAGCAACGGG